UCCCAGUUCCCUUUCUAUUGGUUGAGAGCCAUGGAAAUGUAGCCAUUCGUGACAUUUUUCCAGCCACAUGGAAGGAAAAAAAAAAAAAGGAGAGAAACAAACGAUGCGAAUAAAGACAAUAAUGGAAAGCUAUGGGCGAAAAGAACUUUGAAAUCACAUCUGACAGAAAAAUGUGCGAAAAGUACGGGUGCAUUAAAGGAGAAAUGACAAAAUUUUAGAACAAUAUAGAGACCAUCGUCUCAUGUAUUUUGAAGUUCACAAGAAUUUAAUGCGUUAUUCUAAUUGCGACACUUAUUAAUUCUAGUUGAACACCUACUCCCCGCCCCCCGAGCUGACCGUGGCCGGUUUUACAAGGAGAUUUGUCGUCACAUCAUUGUUUUGUCGUUCUGUCUUUUCUAAAGUUUUCCCUCCCCAUUUUCGGUAGCAAAACAUUCGGAAAUUAUCUGAUCAAGCCUCUAUAGUCAUUACGUAGGCGAAUCAAGAGACAGUGGUGCUUCAGCGGAAAGAAGGCGUCUAUGACACAAUCAUUGUGAAUUCAGCUAAAGGAGAUAGGCGGCAAUCUGUUCUUCUCACUUUUUCUUAUCGACCGUAUGACAAAGAAGAAAGGAAAAGUGAAAGCCAGCAUGCAGAGAGGUACACGCCGGGCGUUUGGUGUAGAAGGGGAAAACGAGCCAUAAAUUGGGACUACUUUCUAUUUUCGUGUAUUCCAAUGGCAGAGAAACUGUUUUAGCAAUCACAGCGCAAGUUUCAAAAAAUACUCCUCCAGUCACCUGAUGUCGAUUUUCUAUUGUAAACUACAAUAUCCUUCAAAUUAAAUUUCACGUCAUUGCUUUUGGAGUGCCUCAUGAUAA